rnacentral:tRNA from 1 species
GUCGGGAUAGCUUCAGCUGGUAGAGCAGA